UCCUCCCAACGCCAUUUUUGUUCCUCCACCAUAAAAAUCAAGAUUUUCAUUUUCUUUUCCUUGUUUUCUUUUCUUUUCUUACUCCUUCCUUCUCCUAACUUCUUGGGCAUCAAACCUACAACUUCUAACCCCAAUUUUCAGCACAUCUAAAACCUAGGAGAGAGAAAGAAAAAUCUCUCUUCCUUUCCUUUAUUUUUUAUUUCUACUCCACUUUCAACUACACUUGAAUUUUUGGCUUCAAAUCUUCAUUUUUGAAGCUAAUAGGUAAAUAUUUUCAACAAUUGAAAUUUAUGAAUUUAUGGGUUAUAUUUUCAGAUUUUAUUUCUGAACUUCUUCAAAUUCUUUUUCUUGGAAAUAUUAGGUUUUUUGUUGAUCUUCAUGCUUCCAAG
rnacentral:lncRNA from 1 species